UUCCCUGGUUCCUAGCCAGGAACUUCUUAUCACUUUUUAAGGUGGAAGCUGUCGCAGGAGAAGAAUGAAUGGGGGGGGAAAAAAAAAAAAAAUAGGCAGGUUGCUUUAUAUAUAGCACUAUGAAUUAAAGCCUUCAAAGCUCAUAAAUCAACGUUAGCAGUCAAUGGUUUUUAAAUGGGAGUUUGAUUUUUAGUUCUUAUCUUGAUUAAAGUAAUUCAUGUGAACAUUUUUGCAUUUUGCUGAAGCAACAGCAGAGCUAGAGCUCCCAAGCAAGAGCUGGCACCCGGGACAAUUCUGUAAAAUCUGUCCUGGUGGGAGCCUCUUUUGUGGCCAGAGGAACCGGAGGUCUGUGAGCUAUCCUGGGCUCUGCAUUUCAAAUUAGAGCAUUGGGAAACCCUAUAAAUAAAACAGAACAUCUUUACAGAGGCAGGCAUUUUCUGUCCUCACCCUGUAAUCCAGACACAGCUUCUACUGUUGGCUUUUUAUUUUUUUUUCCUUUCACAGCUUUCUAGAGGAAAGGGAAGGUGAUGCUGUGAAGUGAAGGUAUCUACAUGUCCCCUUUUACAGUACAGUUGAGAGCCCUUCCAGAUUAAGACUAUAUCCAGAUCACCAAAAUUAAUUUUUCAAAACCUGACAGAAACUGACAUCUGGGAGGAGUCUGGUGCGAGACCGCCAUUACAAAACUCAGUGAAACUGUGCUGUUCCUGAGAAGAAAGUGUCCUCACUCACAUUUUGAAGUCAAUCAUAUAUCCCCAUCUUAAAGGCAAGAUGUCUGGAUUGGCCUGGGAUGAAGGAAUAAGGAGCCUGGAGCAACAGUGUGGCUUUGCAUCCCAAAGCUUGAAGACAUACAGCUUUUCUGAAAUCUUGAAGAUGUAGAGCAAGAGCACAAAGCAAUGACUUUUAACCUUUGUGUGGAGUGCAGGCAGGUAUGUUAGAAGUAAAACUUUCGAACUUAUCCAAGUUAGCUAAGAUCUUCAAACACUAUUUUCUUUCCAUUUACGUACUAACCUCCUAGUUGAGAAUGCUAGUUUGUACUUUGUGGUGCAAUUUCAGUGAGCUGAAUAUUCCAGAGAGCCUCUGCACUUUUAG
rnacentral:lncRNA from 1 species